rnacentral:rRNA from 1 species
GACGAACGCUGGCGGCGUGCCUAAUACAUGCAAGUCGAACGCUUCUUUCCUCCCGAGUGCUUGCACUCAAUUGGAAAGAGGAGUGGCGGACGGGUGAGUAACCCGUGGGUAACCUACCCAUUAGAGGGGGAUAACACUUGGAAACAGGUGCUAAUACCGCAUAACAGUUUAUGCCGCAUGGCAUAAGAGUGAAAGGCGCUUUCGGGUGUCGUUGAUGGAUGGACCCGCGGUGCAUUAGCUAGUUGGUGAGGUAACGGCUCACCAAGGCCACGAUGCAUAGCCGACCGGCGAGGGUGAGCGGCCACACUGGUACUGAGACACGGCCCAGACUCCAACGGGAGGCAGCAGUAGGGAAUCUUCGGCAAUGGGCGAAAGUCUGACAGAGCAACGCCGCGUGAGUGAAGAAGGUUUUCGGAUCGUAAAACUCUGUUAUUAGAGAAGAACAAAGACGUAAGUAACUGAGCGUCCCCUGACGGUAGCUAAACAGAAAGCCACGGCUAACUACGUG